GCCUCCCCCAGUCUCCUAUCCAAUUUGCAGGACCACGUGUGCGGUUCUGCAUCCCACAGUCUCUUCUCGAGUUUCUUAUACAGUUUUUGUUUUUUUCCUCUCAAGUAGUCAGGGAAAAAAAAAUGCCGAGGGGGAAAAAGGCCUGAAAUCGAAUUGCAGAUCCACCAGGCAGAGCUAUAGGUCGCGCCUGCACACAGUACCAGCUCCCAGAGUCUCCCAGGACUUCUAGGAGACUGCCUCAAAAUACACCAGCGUCCUAGGCUUGAGAAACGAGAUAAGCCUUGCUAGAUUUCCGUAGAGUGAAGGUGAAAUCGACGAGAGAAAACCCUUCUACCUGAGAAAUCUGGUCAAGAAUCCUAGUGUUGCAUUCCUCACUUGGUCUCCUAAGCUGACAGUGAAUGAAGAUAAAAGUGGUGACCCUACACCCAGGCAGGACUGUAAAUCCACGCUGUUUGCCUGUGACUGAUUUGGGAUUUGGAUUUCUGAUCUGGCUGAGUGAUGUGUAAAAACCUCAAGUAGUCAACAGCUCCCUAUUGGCUAUGCAUCUGAGGGGCUCAAGAGCAUUGUUUAUUCCAGCAAGUGUCUGGAAUACAUUAUACUGGAUGAAUUGGCUCCUGCUACUCCCGUUUUGGAGAAUAUGAAGAAUUUUAUACUGUGCUAAAAUAAAUGUACUUUGUGCAAAUAACUUUCCUAAAUAAAAAAUUUUGAAUAUGACUCUAUCUUCUGAAUCCACUACUGCCAAUAUUUUAAACAUAUGGCCUUUCUGAAAGAGUAGUGAUGAAAUAAUUCUCCACACCUUCAAAUUCAGAAACUCGUUCAACAUUUAGAUCGGUUUUUAUCCAAGGCCAUAUGAAAGUGGGUUUCCCUAAAAAAAUAAAAUGGUCAGAUAUUUGGGUUGAGAACUGUUCUCUCAAACUUUAAGAAUACUAGGAUAAAGUAUCAAAAUAAUUCUUCUAUUAAUACAUAAAAAUUUUAGGUGAUAU
rnacentral:lncRNA from 1 species